UACGGAGGGUGCAAGCGUUAUCCGGAAUCACUGGGUUUAAAGGGUGCGUAGGCGGCUAAAUAAGUCAGAGGUGAAAGCUUGCAGCUUAACUGCGAAAUUGCCUUUGAUACUGUAUAGCUUGAAAGGAGCUGAGGUCAGCAGAAUGUGGCAUGUAGCGGUGAAAUGCAUAGAUAUGCCAUAGAAUACCAAUUGCGAAGGCAGCUGGCUGGGCUACUUUGACGCUGAGGCACGAAAGCGUGGGGAUCGAACAGG
rnacentral:rRNA from 1 species